rnacentral:rRNA from 1 species
AUUGAACGCUGGCGGCAUGCCUUACACAUGCAAGUCGAACGGUAACGGGCCUUCGGGUGCCGACGAGUGGCGAACGGGUGAGUAAUGUAUCGGAACGUACCUUUCAGUGGGGGAUAACGUAGCGAAAGUUACGCUAAUACCGCAUAUUCUGUGAGCAGGAAAGCAGGGGAUCGCAAGACCUUGCGCUGAUUGAGCGGCCGAUAUCAGAUUAGCUAGUUGGUGAGGUAAAGGCUCACCAAGGCGACGAUCUGUAGCGGGUCUGAGAGGAUGAUCCGCCACACUGGAACUGAGACACGGUCCAGACUCCUACGGGAGGCAGCAGUGGGGAAUUUUGGACAAUGGGGGCAACCCUGAUCCAGCCAUGCCGCGUGAGUGAAGAAGGCCUCGGUUG